rfam:Salmonella enterica subsp. enterica serovar Enteritidis str. LA5, WGS project CAGR02000000 data, contig: Scaffold07-Contig2
GCGAAGGUGGCGGAAUUGGUAGACGCGCUAGCUUCAGGUGUUAGUGUCCUUACGGACGUGGGGGUUCAAGUCCCCCCCCUCGCA